rnacentral:piRNA from 1 species
UACUUCAAAUCUAAACUGCAGCAUUUUGC